rnacentral:rRNA from 1 species
UACGUAGGGGGCAAGCGUUGUCCGGAAUCAUUGGGCGUAAAGAGCGUGUAGGCGGUCCGGUAAGUCGGCUGUGAAAGUCCAGGGCUCAACCCUGGGAUGCCGGUCGAUACUGCCGGACUAGAGUUCGGAAGAGGCGAGUGGAAUUCCCGGUGUAGCGGUGAAAUGCGCAGAUAUCGGGAGGAACACCUAUGGCGAAGGCAGCUCGCUGGGACGUUACUGACGCUGAGACGCGAAAGCGUGGGGAUCAAACAGG